rnacentral:rRNA from 1 species
CAGUAGCCGCGGGAAUACGUAGGGUGCAAGCGUUAAUCGGAAUUACUGGGCGUAAAGCGUGCGCAGGCGGUCCGCUAAGACAGAUGUGAAAUCCCCGGGCUUAACCUGGGAACUGCAUUUGUGACUGGCGGGCUAGAGUAUGGCAGAGGGGGGUAGAAUUCCACGUGUAGCAGUGAAAUGCGUAGAGAUGUGGAGGAAUACCGAUGGCGAAGGCAGCCCCCUGGGCCAAUACUGACGCUCGUGCACGAAAGCGUGGGGAGCGAACAGGAUUAGAUACCCCUGUAGUCCCUGUCUCUUAUAC